UACGUAGGGUGCAAGCGUUAAUCGGAAUUACUGGGUGUAAAGGGUUCGUAGGCGGUGUGGCAAGUCGGGGGUGAAAUCUCUGGGCUCAACUCAGAGACUGCUUCCGAAACUGCUGUGCUGGAGUGUGGGAGAGGCGCGUGGAAUUGCAGGUGUAGCGGUGAAAUGCGUAGAUAUCUGCAGGAACACCCGUGGCGAAAGCGGCGCGCUGGACCACUACUGACGCUGAGGAACGAAAGCUAGGGGAGCAAACAGG
rnacentral:rRNA from 1 species